GACGAACGCUGGCGGCGUGCUUAACACAUGCAAGUCGAACGGAAAGGCCCUGCUUUUGUGGGGUGCUCGAGUGGCGAACGGGUGAGUAACACGUGAGUAACCUGCCCUUGACUUUGGGAUAACUUCACGAAACUGGGGCUAAUACCGGAUAGGAGCUCCUCCUGCAUGGAGGGGGGUGGAAAGUUUCGGCGGGUGUGGCUGGACUCGCGGCUUAUCAGCUGGUUGGUGGGGGAGGGGUUUACCAAGGCUUGGACGGGUCGCCGGCCUGCGAGGGGGAACGGCGGCAGUGGGGCUGGGGGAGGGCGCAGUGGGCGACGGGGGGCAACAGGGGGGAAUCUUGCACAAUCGGCGGGAGCGUGUGGAGGCGGCGCCGGGUGGGGGAUGACGGCUUUCGGGUUGUGAACCGCAGUCGGCUGUGACGAAGCGGGUGUGACGGUAGUGGGUAAAGAAGCACCGGCUAACUACGUG
rnacentral:rRNA from 1 species